AUCACGCGAGCGUUGUGUCUCGGCUGGCGGGAGCCGGGGACGGGAAAGGAGAGUGCUCGGUGCGUGGGCUGGGCGUGCCUGCGUCCCCUCGAGCCCCACGGGGCACCCUCCCCACUUGCCUGUGGCCUCGGAGCCCGCGGGCGGUUUUGGCUCGGCGUCGCGCCCCGAGGCGGCUUCCGGGUGCGUGGCUGCGCUCGCCGAGGCCCGGGAAGUUGCCGUCGUCAAACCCAAAGGCUGACCGCCUCUGGGAGCUGCUGGCAAACGUGGGGGUGCGCGGCCGCUGAGCGCAGCCGGGGUGGCGGUGGGAUGAGAGGGCGGCGUCCCUGUUUGCGGUCAUUUUGCGGCCAGGAGGACGGGUGAGAGGGCGCCGCCCGCCGGAGGUCGGACGGGCGCCGCUGGCGGGAGUCCUCCGGUAUUUUUCGGUGUGAGGUUGCCUAGCCAGUGUGCAAGGUUGUGGCUUUUGCGGAGUCUCUCGGGACGGUCUUGUUAUCGGGCAUUCCGGCGUGAGAACGCUGCCUCUGGGGCCCUUCCCACCCUGCUUGUCAGGGUUUUAAACACAAACGACUCCGUUGUGACCUUGACAACUCUCACACAGUUCAGUUGGCUUUUAAGAUGCCUUUAAUCCCAAAAGUCCUCCCUGAGGGGUCUGGUAGUGCCGGGCAAAGACCACCGCAAGCGCCCAAGGGACGCUGUUGACACUCGGGAACUCCACCCCGGGCACCACGCAGCUUCGCCGAAGGUGUUAAUAUUGUGGCCAACUAUGAAUAGCUGUUUCAAACGACUAAUUUUGGGCCUUUCCUGUGAUUCCUGAGGUCACUUUUCAGUUAACUCAAAAACACAACUAUUGAUCACUUUACUUUCCAGUGAAUUCAAUCGAGUUAAUUAUAUUUGUUCUGUAGUUUCUUUCAAGGAAACUCCAAGCCAAACAGUAGCAAAGAACAUCCUACUUGACUGUUUUUGAGCAUAUUCAGUGAAUUCCAAGGAAAUUUUUACUGAAUUUGUAACAGAGUAGGGCACUGGCAGGUACUGAAUGAAUAAACAAAUGCCCAGAAGAAGCAGGGUCACCUUUACAUAGGAAUCUGUCUCCCCUCGUUCCUGCGUCUUCAUAAUUUUGUGUGCAUAUGUAUGUGGAGAUUAUAUCACAUAUGUAAAACAUUGCAGAGUCUAAACUCUCAACUCCAGGCAAGGGCAGUAAACCCCAAGCAAGGAAUGGAAGUGGUUUCCCUUUUCUUACUCUUCACAGUCCCUGGUUUGCUGCAGCAACAAAUUAUAUUAUGUAGAUUGUAAAUAUGCAACCGGUUAAUGCUCCUAACACCACCUUUCAUUCAAAACUAAGCCUCAACACAAAAGCAAGUAAUUGCUUUGUUGACACAGAAAGGAGCCUGAGCCUUUCUUUUGCAGCUUUCCUCUACUGGAAAAUUGUAGGAUCACAUCCUACAAAGACUUGCAUAAACAUAAGCCACGUAAAAAAUUCUGUAAUCCCAGCACUUUGGGAGGCCGAGGAGGGCAGAUCACGAGGUCAGGAGAUCAAGACCAUCCUGGCCAACAUGGUGAAACCCCGUCUCUACUAAAAAUAACAAAAAAUUAGCCGCGCAUGGCGGCGCGCACCUGGAGUCCCAGCUACUCGGGAGGCUGAGGCAGGAGAAUUACUUGAACCCGGGAGGCGGAGGUUGCAGUGAGUCGAGAUCGCACCACUGCACUCCAGCCUGGGCGACAGAGCAAGACUACGUCUCAAGAAAAAAAAAAAAAUCCUGUGCCAUGUGCCAUCCAGUGGUUGACCCAAGGAUGUAAACUAGA
rnacentral:lncRNA from 1 species